CCAAUCGAGCAUGACGAUCAGAUUGAACACAUCCUUGAUGGACUGCCUGAAGACUAUAGACCAGUUGUUGAUCAAAUCGAGGGACGUGAUGUUUCGCCGACCCUCGCCUAUGUUCAUGAGCGUCUGUUGAAUCAAGA